rnacentral:rRNA from 1 species
GCAAGUCGAACGGCAGCGCGGGGCAACCUGGCGGCGAGUGGCGAACGGGUGAGUAAUAUAUCGGAACGUACCCAGAAGUGGGGGAUAACGUAGCGAAAGUUACGCUAAUACCGCAUACGAUCUACGGAUGAAAGUGGGGGACCUUCGGGCCUCAUGCUUGUGGAGCUGCCGAGAUCUGAUUAGCUAGUUGGUAGGGUAGAGGCCUACCAAGGCGACGAUCAGUAGCUGGUCUGAGAGGACGACC